rnacentral:rRNA from 1 species
AUUGAACGCUGGCGGCAGGCCUAACACAUGCAAGUCGAGCGGAUGAAGGGAGCUUGCUCCUGGAUUCAGCGGCGGACGGGUGAGUAAUGCCUAGGAAUCUGCCUGGUAGUGGGGGAUAACGUCCGGAAACGGGCGCUAAUACCGCAUACGUCCUGAGGGAGAAAGUGGGGGAUCUUCGGACCUCACGCUAUCAGAUGAGCCUAGGUCGGAUUAGCUAGUUGGUGGGGUAAAGGCCUACCAAGGCGACGAUCCGUAACUGGUCUGAGAGGAUGAUCAGUCACACUGGAACUGAGACACGGUCCAGACUCCUAUGGGAGGCAGCAGUGGGGAAUAUUGGACAAUGGGCGAAAGCCUGAUCCGGCCAUGCCGCGUGUGUGAAGAAGGUCUUCGGAUUGUAAAGCACUUUAAGUUGGGAGGAAGGGCAGUAAGUUAAUACCUUGCUGUUUUGACGUUACCAACAGAAUAAGCACCGGCUAACUUCGUG